rnacentral:rRNA from 1 species
UACGGAGGGUGCUAGCGUUGUUCGGAAUUACUGGGCGUAAAGCGCACGUAGGCGGCUUUUUAAGUUAGGGGUGAAAGCCUGGAGCUCAACUCCAGAACUGCCUUUAAGACUGCAUCGCUCGAAUCCAGGAGAGGUGAGUGGAAUUCCGAGUGUAGAGGUGAAAUUCGUAGAUAUUCGGAAGAACACCAGUGGCGAAGGCGGCUCACUGGACUGGUAUUGACGCUGAGGUGCGAAAGCGUGGGGAGAAAAAAGG